CGACUACAGCUAGAGAAUUCCCCUAACAUAACAGAAACACACUCUUUAGGUCGAUCAAUUUGGAAGGCAAGACAACAUGUUAUCUCGUCUGACACCAAUAGCGCCUCCAGCUUUCAGUGCUCUUAGACUCUCUCUCACUUCCACUCUCAACCUCUCGACUCCUUUAAACCUUCACAAAAUCUCUACUUGUUCUGCACUUUAUCGUCUCUCCCAGACCUUCAAACCCACUUCGUCCUUUUUGAGCGCCAACCGGGUUCUUCUGCGUGUCAUGGGAAGUCCAGGUCCCAAGGGUUCAGCUUCAUUUAGUGCUGAAAGUAGCUCUGGCGAUGGAAGGGAGAUAUUGGUCCAGCACUUACUUGUUAAAGAAGACAAUCUUAAGCUUCUGUUAGAUCUUCAGCAGAGAGUUUCACGAGGUGAAGACCUCAGUGAUCUUGCUGCAGAGUACUCGAUAUGUCCAUCCAAAGAAGAAGGGGGAAUGCUGGGGUGGGUGAGAAAGGGGCAAAUGGUACCUGAAUUUGAGGAGGCUGCAUUUAGUGCAUCUUUAAACAAAGUUGUUAGGUGUAAAACAAAAUUUGGAUGGCAUUUAUUGCAAGUACUGUCAGAGAGGGAGGAAUCAGUACUUCAAAACAUUCAAUGCAAGGAGCUUCACGUGAAAAUGCAAGAUCCCAGUUUCUUAGAUGAGGCACAGUUGAUUGAUGUUCGAGAACCUGAAGAAGUGGCCCAAGCUUCUUUAUCGGGUUUCCAGGUCCUUCCCCUUCGACAAUUUGGAAGCUGGGGACCUGACAUAACCACGAAGUUCGAUCCUCAAAAGGAUACUUAUGUUAUGUGUCACCAUGGUAUGCGAUCUUUACAGGUUGCCCAGUGGUUGCAGACGCAGAACGAACGCAUUGUGGCAUGCUGGCGCACAAGACCUAACAGUCAAUUUUCCAAUGGACGACAAAAGCAGCUGCAUAUUAUUAACAGCAAAGCAGGGUUAUUUAUAAUUUUAGCACAGCAGUGGAUAUAUGGUCAUGCCGAAAGCAAAUGGAGUUAUGACAUGAUUAAGCUAACAGACUGCCGGUAACCGUUUUGUUUUUCCCGUAAAAAGUUGGGAAAUCGAAAGGGGUAAAGACUGUUUCAAACAGCAACCUUUUUUUCCCUCAGCCCCCAAAACCCAACAUUGCCUGCCCCAUAGCUUGGCCACACGUGAAUCUGAGAGAUCUCUCUCUUGCUCUCUCUCUUUCUCUCUCGCUCUUCCAACAUGGGCAACUGUUGCUCUC